rnacentral:rRNA from 1 species
GACGAACGCUGGCGGCGUGCCUAAUACAUGCAAGUCGAACGCAGUGGGGACGGGUGAGUAACACGUGGGUAACCUCCCAUCAGAGGGGAUAACACUUGGAAACAGGUGCUAAACCGAUACUGAUGGAUGGACCCGCGGUGCAUUAGCUAGUUGGUGAGGUAACGGCUCACCAAGGCCACGAUGCAUAGCGGGGUGGGGAGGGUGAUCGGCCACACUGGGACUGAGACACGGCCCAGACUCCUACGGGAGGCAGCAGUAGGGAAUCUUCGACAAUGGACGAAAGUCUGACCGAGCAAUGCAGCGUGAGUGAAGAAGGUUUUCGGAUCGUAAAGCUCUGUUGGUAGAGAAGCGGUAGCUAACGAGAAAGCAACGGCUAACUACGUGCCAGCAGCCGCGGUAAUAC